rnacentral:misc_RNA from 1 species
GAUGAAGAACGUAGCGAAAUGCGAUAAGUAAUGUGAAUUGCAGAAUUCAGUGAAUCAUCGAAUCUUUGAACGCACAUUUCUCCCGCCGGUAUUCCGGCGGGCAUGCCUGUUCGAGCGUCAUUUCAACCAUCAAGCCCUGGGCUUGUGUUGGGGACCUGCGGCUGCCGCAGUCCCUGAAAUGCAGUGGCGGGCUCGCAAGACACACCGAGCGUAGUAGCUUACAACCUCGCUUUGGGAGUGCUGCGGGUGCUGGCCGUAAAGCGACCUUUGCGUCUUUAGCACUAGGUUGACCUCGGAUCAGGUAGGAGGACCCGCUGAACUUAAGCAUAUCAAUAAGCGGAGGA